UACGAAGGGGGCUAGCGUUGCUCGGAAUCACUGGGCGUAAAGCGCACGUAGGCGGCUUUUUAAGUCAGGGGUGAAAUCCUGGAGCUCAACUCCAGAACUGCCUUUGAUACUGAGAAGCUUGAGUUCGGGAGGGGUGAGUGGAACUGCGAGUGUAGAGGUGAAAUUCGUAGAUAUUCGCAAGAACACCCGUGGCUAAGGCGGCUCUCUAGUACGGUACUGACGCUGAGACGCGAAAGCGUGGGGAGCGAACAGG
rnacentral:rRNA from 1 species